rnacentral:rRNA from 1 species
GAUGAACGCUGGCGGCGUGCCUAAUACAUGCAAGUCGAGCGAAUGGAUUAAGAGCUUGCUCUUAUGAAGUUAGCGGCGGACGGGUGAGUAACACGUGGGUAACCUGCCCAUAAGACUGGGAUAACUCCGGGAAACCGGGGCUAAUACCGGAUAACAUUUUGAACCGCAUGGUUCGAAAUUGAAAGGCGGCUUCGGCUGUCACUUAUGGAUGGACACGCGUCGCAUUAGCUAGUUGGUGAGGUAACGGCUCACCAAGGCAACGAUGCGUAGCCGACCUGAGAGGGUUAUCGGCCACACUGGGACUGAGACACGGCCGAGACUCCUACGGGAGGCAGCAGUAGGGAAUCUUCCGCAAUGGACGAAAGUCUGACGUAGCAACGCCGCGUGAGUGAUGAAGGCUUUCGGGUCGUAAAACUCUGUUGUUAGGGAAGAACAAGUGCUAGUUGAAUAAGCUGGCACCUUGACGGUACCUAACCAGAAAGCCACGGCUAACUACGUGCCAGCCGCCGCGGUAA